CUAUUGUAUGACAACUUUUAUUUGGUGAUUUGUAAACUGAUUUAUAUCAAAUAAAAUAAAAGUGUGCUGCAAUUUUUGUAUUCUAUCACUUCUUCUACUUCAAGAAUACUGAUUUUACAGAUUAAUUUACCUGCGAGUGGCGGGGAUGGAUGAUGGAUUAAAUGUGAAGGAGAGAAUUUACUAUCUGAGUUCCAUGAUGGACAUGGGAAGUGAAGUACAGGUUCGUGGUAGUGGUGGUCUUCUUGCAAUACUGGAGAAUGAAAGGAUUGUAGAUACUCUUGAACUGGAAAUACAUCAAUUUCAAUUGAUUCUGUUGCAGAAAUUUCGUUGUAUCCUUGAACUUAUUUUGCUCAGUGUUUAUAGGCAAAAACAUUCUUGCUUGUGUUGCAAGGAGAAGACGUGAGUUCAAAGGUUGUCCUUUUCAGUCAUGAAUUGGUUUCUGUUAGUUUUGAUUGAGUGGAUGAGAAUAGCUAGUUUAAGUUUCUGUAAUAGAACCUUCAAGACCCUAAAGUGGACCUGCUCAUUGUCAAAAUGUCUUUUUGAAAAAGCUAUUGAGAUUCACUGACUCAUAGGACCAGUUCUAGGCUAUCUCUAUCUGGUGCUUCCAUUCUAUUUUGGUUUUGAUUGUCUAGUCUCACAUAAUCCAUUUAGUUUAGACUGCUUUGUAUGCUCUUACAUAUUUUUUACCUCUUGUCCAUUAGUUUAGGUGUUUCUUGUUGAUUUGAUUUGCAUUCUUGUUCAUGACUCUUCUAUUUUUAACAUUGAAAUUUUGAUGCUUUGUUUUUAGCUCUGUGAAUAGAUUUUAUGAAUUUAGUAUGGAGUAUUCUUUGCUUUUGUUUUUCAGAUUUAGUUCUUUGUUUCCUUUUUCAUAGUAAAGUAUAUACAUUUGACUUAGGUUUUGUUUUGAGUAUAAACGGAUUCCAUCUCUUCUUUUAGUUUAGAUUCUAUUUCUUACUUUCUUUCUUAGGUUUUUUUUCCUUACUCUCUUUCUUCUUUUCUUUAAACAGGUCUUGAUAACAACUUUGAUUAUAGUUUGAUGGACUGUGCUGACUUGAUGGAGAUUGAACUAGCCGAUCCCAACCCUGAAUAGAGAGUUGCAGUUGCUGUAGCAAGGAGCUGGAGAGGAGCAAUUCAAUGUAAAUUUGGAACCCUUACACAGCGGAGCUGAGAAUGGAACAAAACCAAUAAGCCUUUUCUUUCACUUUCCCUUUAAUUAUAGUUAUAGAUUUUUUCUAUUAGCUUGCCUAGUCAUAGAUAGCAUAGUAAAUAAUAGGAUAGAACAUAUGUUGUUUUUUAUAAAAUUUAAGAAAAUCAAUUUUGAUUUGUGGCCGAUUUGAAUAAGUUUUUUUUUUCUUAUUAUAUUGCUUUGCAGUUUUAGUUUUCUUUUUCCAUUUAUGUUCUUGUAGAUGUUGCGUUCUAUUGCAUUUUCCUUCCUGUUCGUAUACAUUUUAAACUCUUGUGUUCAGUCUUCUUAGUUCUAUUCUGUUCUAUAUUUUAUUGAUUAGUUUUGUCCUCUUUUAGUUCUUCCUUUUAUAAAUACAUGUGUAAUCCUGGUUUGAGCAUAUCUGUUUUGUCUGUGCUGAUUAGGAAAUCUUACUCACUCACACAUU